UACAGAGGGGGCAAGCGUUGUCCGGACUCACUGGGCGUAAAGGGUGCGUAGGCGGUUUGGAGCGUUCGCGCUGAAAUCCCACAGCUUAACUGCGGGGCGCGUGCGAAUACGUCCAGACUCGAGGCAGGGAGAGGAUGGGGGAACUCCUGGUGUAGUGGUGAAAUGCGUAGAGAUCAGGAAGAACACCCGUGGCGCAAGCGCCCAUCUGGUCCGUCCUGACGCUGUCGGCACGAAAGCGUGGGGAGCGGAACCGG
rnacentral:rRNA from 1 species